AGGACGAACGCUGGCGGCGUGCUUAACACAUGCAAGUCGAGCGGAAAGGCCACUUCGGUGGUACUCGAGCGGCGAACGGGUGAGUAACACGUGAGUAAUCUGCCCCUGGCUUUGGGAUAGCCACCGGAAACGGUGAUUAAUACCGGAUAUGACUGCUCCUCGCAUGAGGUGGUGGUGGAAAGUUUUUUCGGCCAGGGAUGUGCUCGCGGCCUAUCAGCUUGAUGGUGGGGUAAUGGCUCACCAUGGCUUCGACGGGUAGCCGGCCUGAGAGGGUGACCGGUCACACUGGGACUGAGACACGGCCCAGACUCCUACGGGAGCAGCAGUGGGAAUA
rnacentral:rRNA from 1 species